GUCCCCGGGGCGCGCUGCUCCCCCCGCGCCGGCCUGCCCGCACCGGGCCCGCCGCACCGCCGCUCUUCGUGACUGGGCGGCGUAGCCUGUCCCCUGGCCAGCAGCCGCCACAGGGCGAGAGACCUACGCCGGUUCGCGGCAGGAGUUCCCGGGAGAGCCUGCUCCUUUAAUGGAAAGUAGCUCCUGAGGAGUCCGGACAGCUUCCAGCGCCUUCGAGGCGAAUCUUCAGGCAGAAGCAACUCGUGUGACAUGUUCACGAUGAAACGUUCUGCAGCUUCAGCGUCAGCAGAGAUCACCACCAGCAGCACUGUGUAGAGCAGCAAAGGGUCUCAGCUCCAAAAUUCCAAAGACACAAUUCCAGAGGCCUCUGUGGCACAUCCUAGUGGAAAGGUGGCACGAAGACCAGUGCUCGCAGCAAGAUUCACCGCGGGGCAAGGGAUGCAAGGGUCAUGGAGGGAGAGGCCCCAGUGCUGCCUGGCUUCAUAGAGGGAUGAAGAGGAGUCAGCUGUGGAAGUCUCACGUUCAUGGUGUGCCAGUGAUGGGCGUGUUGAGGAGGUCAGUGGGCAAAGCCACACAGACUGCUGUGAUCAGAACAAUGCCACACAGACCCCACACGAUUCAAGAUGCCAAAGCUUUCUGCAGUGCAGUGGACAAAGUGAUUCACUGUGGCUCUUUGGGGCACUUUUAUCCAUCACUGUUGCUGAGAGUCUCCGUGGAGUUCAGCGCUGUGACCACACUCUGCCAGACACCUCCUUCUCACCUGAGAUAGUCUCUGCUGUAUCCUUGAGCUCUUUGGAAGAAUCAUUUUGUGGGUGGAAAUGAGGCUCCUGAGAAUCCUCUGCACUGCUUUGGCUCCAUACCUGGAACAAAAGGUAUGACUCAACCAAGCAGAGUUUGGACAUUUUCCCUCUGGUUCAGAACUGAGUUGGAGUUCGGUUUCUGCAAAGAGAAGAUUAAAGACACUUUGUGUUCCUGCCUUCA